CCUUAUGCUUAACACAUGCAAGUCGAACGAAAAAUCCUGGGCAACUGGGAAAGUAAAGUGGCGCACGGGUGGGUAACGCGUGGGUAACCUGCCCUUGAGUUGGGGAUAACCCCGCGAAAGCGGGGCUAAUACCGAAUAAUAUGUCAGUUCCCAUGGGGAUUGGCAUCAAAGAUGGCCUCUGCAUGCAAGCUAUUGCUUAAGGAUGGGCCCGCGUACCAUUAGCUUGUUGGUGGGGUAAUGGCCUACCAAGGCAACGAUGGUUAGCUGGUCUGAGAGGAUGGCUAGCCACACUGGAACUGAGACACGGUCCAGACUCCUACGGGAGGCAGCAGUGGGGAAUCUUGCGCAAUGGGGGAAACCCUGACGCAGCAACGCCGCGUGGGUGAUGAAGGCCUUCGGGUCGUAAAGCCCUGUCAGGUGGGAAGAAACAUGCUGAUGCUAAUAACAUCAAUAUUUGACGGUACUACUGGAGGAAGCACCGGCUAACUCCGUGCCAGCAGCCGCGGCAAUACGGAGGGUGCAUGCGUUGUUCGGAAUUAUUGGGCGUAAAGCGCGUGCAGGCGGUCGGGUAAGUCAGAUGUGAAAGCCUUCCGCUUAACGGAAGAAGUGCAUUUGAUACUGCUCGGUUAGAGUACGGGAGAGGAGAGUGGAAUUCCCGGUGUAGAGGUGAAAUUCGUAGAUAUCUGAAGGAACACCAGUGGAAGGGCGAA
rnacentral:rRNA from 1 species